rnacentral:rRNA from 1 species
UGGUGGAGUGAUUUGUCUGGUUUAUUCCGAUAACGAACGAGACCUCAGCCUGCUAAAUAGUUCCGUCAACCGUUCGCUUAUGAGUGAAAGCGCGGUAUGCCUUUACGGUCCCCUGGGCUGUGAAGCGAACGCGUGGGAUCUUUGAUUGGUUGGGCGUCGUUGGUCAAACAACGUAAGAACUUCUUAGAGGGACUAUUCUGUGUUUAACGAUUGGAAGUUUGAGGCAAUAACA